rnacentral:lncRNA from 1 species
UGAUUCAGGCUCAAUAGUAACAUUUGUUCUUUCUAUUUUUCUUCAUUUCUAUUGUUAUUUCAUCAAGACUAAUUCAUUAAAGGUGUGUGCAUAACGUCUGCUGCGUCCGUGAUGUUCGCAGCGAUGGUCAUUGCUUACUCUAAGUCAUCAGCGGGUGUAGUAGAAUGAUAUUCUCUUUCUGUCCUUCUUCAUUAUUUUCUAGGCUAAGUCUGUAAUGAGAAGAUACCCUUGACAGAGAACACUUCAUUGGAACUUGUUUUGUCUCUGACACAGGCAUUCGCCCAGCAGGUACAGCCCAGGUCGCUGGGAAGCCCCAACUCAAGGGGCUCUGCAGUGGGCGCCUAGCAAUUAUGGAGAUGUGGGUGAUACCCACCCCAAGCCGGACCUGGUGCCAGCAAUGAUCCCUCCCAUUCUGCUUGGCACAAACUGGCACUGACACGGGGCAUUGAUUAGGUGGUUGCAUUUGUCGAUUCCGAGCCCAUGUGUGUGGAGCCCAGGCCCUGGGCGAGCACAGAGGGCCCUGGUGCUGUCCUGAGCAGAGGCCCCUGCCCACCCGGGGCUGCGUGUUCUCUCCGGCCAUUCAGGGUCCGAGAGUGCAGAAGAGUUAGCCUCAGGGGAACACCUUCCUGCCCAGCUGAUUUGUAAACAGCCUCGCUGGGGGCACAUGUUGGUGUUGGGAGUGGUGGAGGUUUCUGUGUGUGAUGGAAACUUGGGGUAGGUGUUGGGGAAAAGAGGUGCUGAGAGUCUCAGCAGAGGGCAGAGUCCAGGAGUCCUGGAGUGCAGC